UCUGUGUAAUCAUUUGCAGUGUAGCACAGUGUAGCAAAACAUCAACAUGGGAAUGUUAUUCUUUGUGGAAUGAGAAGCUAUUUCAGACAUAAUAUGGCUUAAGAGGGUACAUAAUCCCUCUAAACAGGAAAAGCACCUGACUAAGAAAAAAUAACAGCUUGUUAAAAUUCUGGGAUUACACUUGUGGUUGGAAUGAAAACUAACAUACACAGGGGGCCCCCAGGACUGAGAGGGCAGUGUUUCAUAUAUUGGAGUGAUGAUGCCAUUUGUCAGUGAAGCAUGGUAUUUGGAAAAAAUCAGCAUUAAGCACAAAAUUAUUAUUAUUAUUAUUAUCCCAGGUCUUCUAUAACAUUCUGAAUUAGAACACUGAAUUGUAAUACAUGGGUUAAAAAUGGUCAAAACUUCAUAAGUCAUUGCAUUUUCUAAAGAAUGUUGUAGAAGGCAUAGCACGUGCUUUAUGAAAUCUUUUUGGCUGAACACUUUGUGUAAAGUCCACCCAGCAAAGGAAAUACAAAGACACAUACAUGGACUCAUUUCAUUCAAGGGCAAAACAGUAGAAUUCCUUACUUUUAAUGUCACCCAAUUUUGCUUACAAGCUUGAUAUGAGAUUAAAUACAACAGAGAUAUAUCUUUUUCUAGGCAUUGCAUCUCUACAUGCAGACAGGUUAGCAAAAUUCAUGUCUAAAAAUGUUAUGAAUGCGCAGUCUUCUUGCUGUGGUUUGAGAUGUGUAUUGUCGAUAUUGUGUAGAGGCUCCACUGUAGAAUUCAAUUUAUGUUUAUAAAUUAUGAUUUUGCAUUGUCCAUAGUGAAGGUCCGUGUGGUAACCUGCUUGUAAAUGGCUUUAUACAAUUAUAAACACAAACUAAUUGAUGGAUAAGCCACAGCUGAUGAUUGUUGCUUUGUGUUUCCUUUAGUUUCCCGUUUGUGACAAACAUGUCUAAUUAUGUUCAUGAAAUAUAUUUGUUUAUUUGAAAUGUAAAAUUGCUUAU